UAAGUACGUAGGUGUGUUUUGCGAGUAUGCAGGGAUUUGUUGUUCUUAUGAGGCAAGAUUAUGAGCUACUAUUGCAGGCUUGACCCCGUUGAGUGAAUCCAAGAAUGAAACUAAUGGCCGUGGCUUCCGCAGGUGGAGGACAAGGACCCCGAGCAGUUAGUGGUGGUGGGAGGCGACUGGCAUGGAGGGAAGGGUCUGGAAAGCGACACUGAGUACAUUGUGUUCAUAGUGACGGAGACCAGGGCAGGUCCCUACAGUGAAUACUUCUCGUGCAAGCCAAGGAUUAUGAGGACAGCGAAUCGCCCUAAAGAGCCCGCUACUUAGGGGGUGACCGUGGCCCUGUGUUCUGCUGCGCUGCUCCUCAUUUGCUUCAUUGCACCACUGGUGAUCUCUUGUUCUGACACAGGAAGCAGCUUCCGUAGAAGAGUCGUUGUAACCCAGUCAACAAGGAAGGUAAGGCAUGAAGACAGCAUCAUGCGGACCAUAACUAAGGCCAGCAUUCAGAGACCCUUUGUUCUCUCACCACAGCGACUGAGGUGCUGUCAAAGAAGACUACGAUAUGUUAAGACAAGUAGAAUCUACCUGCCAGGUACUAUAUAAUGGUUUAGGGAAUAGACCUUCUGUAUUAGAUAGCUAGUAUACUCAAUAAUUUUGCUCUGUAUUGAUAUCUCCGUUUCCUUAUUCUUGAAAUAAUGAAUAAAAUGCUCAGCAAGCUAUAUUCUCUGUUGUCCGUCGUAGCAAACGGUCUUGUGGUGAUUCUUUGCUCGAUGGGUUCUGUUACUACGAAACCGAGUCUUUUGUGUUGAUUCGAGUCUGUACUGGUGAUGGGCACCAAUAAACCUGGUAACUGCUA